rnacentral:tRNA from 1 species
AAAGAAUUAGUUAAUAAAAUAUAUAACAUAAAUUUGUCAAAUUUAAAUAAAUAUAAUAUUAUUCUUUU